rnacentral:rRNA from 1 species
UUCGUAGGCGGUGCGGCAAGUUGGGAGUGAAAUCUCUGGGCUUAACUCAGAGACUGCUUUCAAAACUGCCGUGCUAGAGUGCGGGAGAGGCCAGUGGAAUUGCAGGUGUAGCGGUGAAAUGCGUAGAUAUCUGCAGGAACACCCGUGGCGAAGGCGGCUGGCUGGACCGCAACUGACGCUGAGGAACGAAAGCUAGGGGAGCAAACA